AUAGUAGCAGAUAUAAAGUGCAUAUAUGCUGUAUACUUGUAGUAUCAAGUUAACGCUUAAGCGAUUUGUAAAGUCGUUGACUACGAGGGGAAAAGAAGUAAAUAGUUACUUCUUUUUUU
rnacentral:sRNA from 1 species